GCCUUCAUAGCGCAGUUGGUAGAGCAUUCGCCUAGACAGCGAAAGGCCUCCAGUUCAAGCAUGGUGGAAGCA
rnacentral:tRNA from 1 species